rnacentral:lncRNA from 1 species
AUGCACUGCAGGUAUGCAACCAAAGAAACAAAACAAAAAAAGCAGCCCCGGUUCCUCUGUUGGUGUAGGCUGUCUCCUGGCUUGGAAAGUUACAUUCCAUUGUAUUUGAUUGCAGGAACAUCAGUUGGUGUCAGUGAGUUCACAUAUGCACAAGAGGAGAUUUUGACAGUUUCACCCCAGAAAAGGGUCCCUUCUGGGAAAUCUGCAGAUCAGAAAGUGACAUCGCCUCCCACCGAAAAGCACCAGAGUGCUGAAGUGGAAAGCAAUAACUCGCUUCCCGUUGAGACAAGUGAUCAGAACGUUGAUCAAUUGGGUUUUAAAUCUAUAGAGAAGUCUUCACUUAUAAAGGCUGGUCCGUGUUCUAAGGUGAAGCCUAAACCAAACCUCGGUCACAGCUCAAGGACUGCAAAACCGGUAUCUCACACUGAGAUGUCGACAGAAGGGGGAGCUGGAAUAAGCUGCUCAGUUGCUCAAUGUGUUUCUCAAGAUGAUGAGACUUCACUAUCUGCUGAAGAAACAUCCCCUGGAAUAUCAGCUUCUGCUGCAGCAUUGUUUAAAGAUAACACUUCCUCUCAGCGCGCCUGCUUGGAUCAGGUUGAAACAGGUGCAGCAGAUCAGAAUCUCCUGAAAAGCCAGAGUCAGACUGUAAUUCAGUCCCAGUUGGGGCCUCCUGUAAAGUCCAAGGCUGGCUUAAAUAAACCAGUUGAAGCAGUGCCAGAGGUUAAAAAAGCGUCAAGCAACGAUCACAGCCCAGUUCCAGACAGAACCAGCAAACCUCAACCCUCGGUUGCAGACAACUCUUCUGUGAGUCACACAGGAGAAGGUGAUGUAAAAAGUCCUUCUCAGCCCAGAGGCAGACUGCCAAAAGUCAAACCCAAACCAAUCUUACUGCAGACGUCAAGAAUAGCUAGAUCCAAACGGCAAACCACUGAAGGGGUGGCAGAGAAAGAGUCAAUUGAAAGUCAGAAUACUUCAACUAAAAUGCCAGCAGAACUUCCAGAUGAACGGACUACAAGUGAGGAGACAACAAGUCCUAAAUGUCUAAAUCAAGCAGCACCUGUUCAGAGCGCUACAGAAACUCUGAUCUCUGCCAAAGUCGUGCCUGAGCUCUGUGUGGAGCAGACCAGCAAAGACUCUGAAGCCACUUCUGAAACUGUGUCAACUGAACAAACAGACCCAGAACUACCAGCUCCACAUGGGUCACAUUUGGGUUCAGAAAGAAAAGAAGAUUCUGCUGCAGUUGCUGAAGCAACCUCCAAUCAAGAUGAGAAAAAAACGGGAUCUUCUCAGUCAAGAAAGGGUCGACUACAAAAGGUUAAACCCAAACCAAACAUACCACAGUUGUUGAGAGGUGCAAGAUCCAAAGCUCAGAACACAGAAGAUGCCAUCCAAAAAAAUCUGGAGCUUCACAAAAACCCAUCCGUAGAGGCGGAAACACAAACAAAACUCACCCAAAAACUGUCUGCAAAUAAGGAGAUGAAGACAAAAGAUGGAGUUGAAGAUCAAGAAGAAUUGGGUGGAGCACCAUCAGGUCAAAGUCCUACAAAAGCCAAGAAUCUCUCCAUCGAGUCCAGUUUGGAGCAGGCAACUGGAGAUGCACUAUCAAUUCCUGAUUUAACCAAAGAAAGUGCAGCAUCCCAUGUUGAAGAUCCAGUUUUAAAGGCCUGUGAGGUCACAGAACCAGAACAAGGACUACAUUUGGAUUUUAUUGAAAGUGCAAAUUCAGCUUCUUUAAAUAAGUCUGUAGAAGAGUUGGCAGUCAUGCAAAAAGAGGAAAAAUCGUUGCCAACAGGUCAGACAAAGAGAGAUCGACUGUCAAAAAUCAAACCAAACCUUCAAACAUCAAGAGCUGCAAGAUCUACAUCUCAAACCACUGAAGAAGUUACGCAAAAAGACUUGUUUCCAGGUGAAGGACCUGAUUUCACGAAGGUGGAACCAGAACAGGAACUGUCUGUAAAUAAAGACACAUGGAGAGAGGCUGGGUUUGUAGACCCCAAAGUAUUGACAGACAAGAGCACCAAAGAAAGCCCAAAUCCCUGUGAAGAUCAGCCUGAGCCAUGUAAGGAGCAAACCAUAAGAGAUAGAGGAGCAACGUCUGAUUCAGCUCCAGAAAAUCUGUCAUACUGUUUUGGGCUACAGUCAAAUGUGGAGCCAGGAAAAAGUGGAAAGCCUUCAGCAGCAGCACAGGAACCAAGUGCAUCUGAUGAAAGGAAGACGGGUCAAAUCAAAAAACGUAAACCCAAACCAAACCUGGUACAGACAUCAAGAGCUCUGAGGUCCAAAUCCUCAAAAGAUUCACAGGAUAAGAACUCAAGUUCCAUAAUAGAACCCAAAGUCCAUGAAGAUGCCAUGUCAUUGGUGGAAGCAAACCUGUCUUUGGACAGUCAAUCUGAAACCGUUCCUACUUCAACAGUACAGCCUGUUAUGACUUUAGACUCAACUUCCACUCCAACAACAUACUCUUCUUCAAAUGACGAUCAAAGGGAAUUAACUAGACUGGAUUCGAUUGAUAUGAUUGCAGAAAUAUCAGAUCAGAGCACCACAGAGAACCAGAACUUCCCUGAAGUCCAGAUUGGUAACACCAGAGUUGAAGAAUCUCUGACGGAGUUCUCUGAUAAAAACCUAAAAUCUCAUGUUGAACCAACUGAUUCAAGAGUUCCAGAGGCACCAAAGCUGGGUUUGGAUCCAACUUCAUCUGUUGCAGGGCCUCCAGCCGUCAAACAAGGUUCUGAAGUUGCAUCUUCUUGUUUAUCAGUGAGGAACAGAUUAUCAAAAAUUAAACCCAAACCCAACUUGACAAAAACCUCAAGAGCUGCAAGAUUGAGACCUCAGAUCUCAAAAGAAUCAGCACAAAGUUCUGAAUCCUGCAAAAAGUUUGAACCAGAAAACAGCAACAUCUCCAAUUCUGUUUCAGGUUCAGAACAAUCCAAGAAUGCAUUCCCUGCAGAAGAGAAACAUCCUAGACGUGUAGAUCAGGCGGACACGGAUGCAGCCACAACAGGUUGCAGUGCUCCAAAGAAACAGAACAUCUGUCAAGUCCUGGUUGAAGAACAAACAUCUGCAGACCAGGCAUCGGCCUCUGAGAUGAGAGAGGAAGCAUCUCCGGUUGGGAAGUCACCAGAUGUUCGGCAUUUAUCUGCACAGGCGUGUUCAGAAGAAGCUGAAUCAAACGCUAAGUUUAGGAGAUUACAGAAAAUUCGCCCCAAACCGAAUUUACCAAAUAAAUCAAGAACGGCAAGAAUUGGAACACCAACCAUAAAUGACCCAAAGGAAAAAGAUUUGAGUGAAACUCAAUUUGAACAAGACUUGAUUGAACAAACAUCUGCAGGAAACCAGAACAUCACUGAAGUUCCCAAUGAAGAUCAGACCACUGGAAAAAUUGAGGAAACAUCCUCUUUUGUUGAGGUGAGAAAUUUAGCAUGUGAAGAAGCAGAAAAGGGAGAAGUGUCCUUUGUGGGGCAGGAGCUCCAUCUUGCUGCAUCAGGAACCAAGCAACAUGUUGGUGAAGAGGAUGAAGCUGCAUCUACGUCUCAAUCCAAGAGGAGGCGUUUUCAGAAACCUGAACCAAACCUCCCUGUGACAUCAAAAGGCGCUAAAUCUAAACCCGAAUUCCCUAAAGAGCCAGUCCAACUCACGCUCGCUAUGAAGCAACCACAGAUCUCCACCUCCAAAUCUAUGGAGCAACCUCAGAUCUCUAUUUCUAAAUCUGUGGAGCAACCUCAGAUCUCCACCUCCAAAUCUAUGGAUCAACCUCAGAUCUCCAUCUCCAAAUCUUCUGACCGCUCAACAUCAAAAGAAGAUGGUCAGUUUGUGUUGACUUCUCAUAAAAUCAAAAGUUCAGUUGCGGAACCGUUCGUCGAAUUGAGCCCAUCUCAUAAAUUUGUAGAGGAAUCAACCUCCGAGUGCAAAACAAAUGUUGAACAAGUCUCCAAUUCAGAGCAAAAUCUUCUUCAGAGAAGACCAAGGCUUUCCAGAGUCAGACCCAAACCUAAUCUAGAAGUAUCCAGUCGAGCUUUGCGGCGAAAAGUUCAGCCAGGUGACGGUUCCAAACCUUCAGGUGAAACUUCCACACCUCCAAGUGGCCUUAAGACGUCAGUGGAGAUGGAACCAGGUGGAGAAAAAAUGGACAGUGAAGGUCCAGCUGAGAGGGACUUGAUGGAUCCGUCUGCAGCUGUGGAUGCUCAGGUCUCAACACAAGUCGGUUCUACAUCAACCUCCAAAGCCAGCUCGGUCAGUGCAGAGGGACACUCCUCAACCCAAAGUAUUGAUUCUGCUGAAUCAGAAGCAGCUGACUCUUCUGAGACGUCAAAUAAAGCUCCUCAACCUCCCAACAUCACGUGCAGCAGUCUUGCACAGCGCAGACAGACGGAUGCAGAUUCUGACACUAGCUCGAGGACAGCUUCGUUGGAGCCUCGCCCUGGCAGUCGAUGGCCAGUAGGUGGAGACAUUGAUGAGACGAGAGACAAAUCGUCCUGUCUAGAUCCUGCUUCUCAAGAAGUGUCAUCUACGCAAGUGAGAUAAUAAUACGUCACUCAGUCUUAGCAAUUCUUUUCUAACAAGUUAUUUGAAGAUAAUUUGGCUUGUUUAAUUGAUUGUUUUGGUUUGUUUCAUAUUCGAACUUCUUGAAUUGAAAGACUUAUUUCAUGUUUUUGUUCUGAAUUUUGGCGAAGAGAAAAUCUUGUUUCCUUUUAAACUCUAAUCUGUUUUUUUUUUAAUCUUAUUUGAGAUUGUGUGCCAUCAAUUCUUAUGUGCUUUAUGCAUUAUUUUAAAAUGCUUUGAUCAACUAAAUCUUUACAUUAAUUAUGCAUAAGGUCAGGGCUUUUAACCCACUGGCUACCAGGACAUUAUUGACAUCAUUUCCGCUCCAGAACAUCGUCUGUUGUUGGCGCCGCCUGAGUCAUCCCUCCUCUGGUGUGGCGUGCAGUAGCAGUGAUGAUGCCUUUCCAAAGUUUGGUACAUCAGAGGAGGGAUAAUAUGGGUGGCGCCGACAACAGUCACUGUUCCAUAGCUGAACUGAAGUCAAAAUAACCUACGUUUCCAAUGUCAAUUGUGUCUCUAGUAGCCAAUGGGCUCAAAGCCCCGCCCCACGUAAAAUUAGGCUCAACUAGGAAAACGUAAAAUCUGAAUUGAAACUGUAAAUUGAGGAAUUAAAGCAAAGGGUGAGAAAAAACAAGUUGAAAAUACAAAACAGCAGCUUUUACAAAGAAAUCUAUAUUUUUCAUUCAUCAGGAUAACUUUAUAAACAGUUAAUGCCAUUAAGAGCAAUUCUUCCAUUUAUCCAUUAGUUAAAAUUGUAUUUUUCUCUAAAAAGAAAGAGGACUUUGCUAGUUUUUGUUCAGAUUUCAAUACAGCUCUUUAAAUAUUUGCAUUUUGUAUUCAAAAGUUAAAAUGUUUAAAAUGGCAUAAAAGGUGCUUAGCACUGAAUUAACUAUAGAAAUAUUAUAGAAAAUCCUGCGGUGACCUUUGAGGUUGAAGUACUUAAUGUUGUUUUCAGAUUAUCAGUGUCUGAAAUGUUCACAUUGUAACACUUGUGGUAAAAUAGGUGUAUCGAACCAACAAAACCCUGCAUUAAGUUGCCGCUUUGAUCUGAGGCGGAGUUUCAGAUCUGCUGCUACCUUUCCUCAACUGUCUCCUUUUGAUUCCUUAAACCCCAGAAUACGUCGGCUUUAAAUCCGGAGGGGAUCCACACUUAUCCGCUUCUGAUGGAGAGUAAGUCGUUCUUCUCCCACCGCGGCUUUGUUUGAAGUGUUUCCGUUAAACGCCUUCUCUUUUUAUUUUAAUUUUUUUUGUCAGUGCUGCCCGAGCAGGUGCCUUCAGAUCCGGAUGAACCGUUCUUCGUCCUUUCUCUGAUGGAGAUCCCGGGGGAGGCGGUAACCAGCGCGGCCGAGAAGCCGCCUCAUCACCCCGUCGCAGAUGCUGUCACGCUGCGGCCGUGGUCAGUGCUGCUGCUCCCUUCGGCCGAAUGGAGUUUGUUUCAUCUGCCGUCGGCGCUUACAACCUUCUCCCCUGUGUAGGGAUUCUGGAGAGAGUUCCACAGCAGCAGCAGGAGAGAAGUCCGUCUCUGGCGUCUCCACAAAAAGUGCAGAAACAAGUUCUGCAUCUGAAGGUGAAGCUGCAAAUCAAAUUAAACUUUAUUUAUAACACUUUGCAUACUCAUGUAGCUCAAAGUGCUACAUAUAUAUCUAUAUAUAUAUAGAUAUAUAUAUGACUUUCACACAUAAAAAAUUAUAAAACACAUACAAUACCCACAAAAGCCUGACCUUUUUUUUUUUAGAAAUACCUUUGUAAUCAUUGUUUGCAUGAGGACUAAACACAAGAUAAGCUGUCGGCUUAAACGUUUGUUAGAAGAGUUAUUGAGUCAGUAAGUCUGAACCGAUGAAUAUCUUGCCAAUUUUACCAAACUGGUUUUGCGAGCCUCCUGCUGAAACUAGAGCUGCGCUUUACGGCAGUAAAAGGUCUUGAUCCAUUCAUGACCUGCACACUUCUAGUAGGGCAUUUAUUUUAAAGAAUAAGCUUGAAAUAUACAGCGUCGAUCAAAGUAAUAUAAAGUAAAUAUCGGAUUCCGGGUCGAGUCUGAAACUACGUGAUCAGGCCAGAUUUACUGUGGCUGCAGAGUGAUCCUCCUAUCAAAUUUUUAUUUUUUUCUCUGUUUUUUAAAUAUUUUUAUGCCUCAUUGUUAAAUCUUACGGUUUUUAACGUUUUUAAUCCAGAAAAACCUGCAGAAAAUCUAGAAACCUGUGUUGCCAGAGAGACGGACGCAGCAGCUGAGAAUAAAGGUAUUCACAACAUUUCUCUUUCAAAUGCUUAUAAAAAUAAACAUUUAUUUUUCUGUAUUUAAUUUUUAUUGCCUCUUUUAACAGUUAUUUCAACAAGGAGAAGAAGAACUAAAGCUGAAGCUACCGUCAGCCAGAGAAGUGAGGCUGAAGCUGCUUCUGACCCACGAAGUUGUAAAAAAGGAAAAAGCUUGAAGAAAUCUGACAGCAGUUUGGGCUCCAAAAAAAGUAACACAAGCAGUCGUCAGACUAGGUAAGGUAUUUUUUUAUAUAUUAACAAUUUGUCAAUGAUAUUACCCUUUAAGAUCUAGUUUUUCUGUCCCUUACAGAAAAGCAAAAGACGUUUCCCAUGAAGUCAAAACGUCGCCCAGCGAUUCCCCUGCUGCGAAGGCGAAGACGUCUGCUAAGAAAGCAGCUUCUGCGUCACAUGAAGAUGCUGCACCAGCCAAAGUCCGUUCAGCUCCUGUGGGGUCGCAGUCCAGACCCACCGCCGACCAGACACCCGGCACCUCAACUCCCAGCUCCACCCUCCGCACCGCCCGGGUAAGACGGCAACUAGCGGCUGAAAACAUGUCAUUUCUUUUCUCUCAUUUGGGUUUGUGUUGAUCUUUGCAGGAAAGCUGUGCUGAGAUCAGCUCAGCAGAGGAGGAGCCCACCAGCGUGUCGCAGUACUUCAUUAGUGACAUUUUCACAGAAGUGGAUGAGUCAUGAACACCGGAUUCUCAUUUAAAGAAGCUCCUGUUUUUUAGUCUUAGUUGUGAUGUUUUUAUAGUCCAAUACACCCCCCCCCCAAACCCCAAUGGCACUUUGAAUUGGUUUUGGAGUUGAAAUCAGUGCUUUUUGAAAAUGCACUUAGAUGAUAAAUGCUAAAGUCUGAAAGCUAAAGCGGCAGCAGCUGAAUGUUUCAGUUCAGCCUCAAAUUUUACUCAACAACUGUGAAAAUGUAAAUAUGUUGUGUGUUUCAUUUUGUACUUGAUGCCACUUUCUAAAUUGUGUACAGCUUUAUACAACCCUCUUGUGUACAUAAUUUUAUUUAGUUAAGCAAACUCCAUCAAAGGUGAAUUUAUGGAUGUUUCCAUGAAUGGUUGACGAGUAACAGUGGUUUACAAUAAAUCAAGAUAAACACUUGAUUGGGUUUUUUAUUUGACUUUUUUAUGUGUUUCUUUAUAUUUAAUUUAUAACUGUAGAGACU